rnacentral:ncRNA from 1 species
CUUACCUCACCCUACGUCACUCAUCUACCCCCGACACCUAAAUGUUUCCCCUCCCCCUAACUACCCACUCCUAUGCUCUAAUUCACUCUCCCAUUUAAACCUUAUAUCUUAACCUUUUUAAAAAUUAUUUAAAUUCUUAACCAAUAGCAUUAUUCCACAUGGAAACCUAUGAAGAGAUGACAAGUGGCAACAUAUGAAUAGUGACACAUUGCAACUCAUGGAGGGAGACACAUGGUUUAUUCUUAUUGGUGACAUGUGGCACAUUAUUAUUGGUUGACACAUGGCAUGAUAUCAUUUUUUACAUGUGGCAACUUACCUUUAUUACAUGUGGUGAAAUUUGGUUGGAUGCCUCAUCACGAUGGUUGGGCAUGCUUAGAGGUUGACUUUUGGUCAAAAUUUUAAUUAUUAAUUAAUUUCCUAAGUGAAGGUAGAAUGCUUAAGUCUUCAUACUCUCCACUUGAAUAACAUGUAAAGCAUAAAUGAGUUUUUAAUAUAUACAACACCCCCUAACCUUAUAAAUCGUCGAACCAUAACCCAUAACCCUUCUAAAUAUGAAAUGUGAUUUAUUCACAUUGCUCUACAUGUCAAAGUGAAGAAAUUCAACCAAGAGCGGGUAAAUGGAGGGAGUAGUUAUGACUUUCUUAAGGUAGCCAGAUGCCUCACCAUGUAAUUAGUGACGCACAUGAAUGGAUCAUUAACGAGAUUCCCCACUCUCUCUAGCUACUAUAUUCUAGAGAAACAACAUCCAAGGGAAUAGGCUUGGCAUAUUUAUCAAGGAAAGAAGACCCUGUUGAGCUUGACUCUAGUCCUAACCCAUUCAUAGUUUGGGAAAAUUAUACCAUAACAUUUGUCUUUUGGAGUCAAAUUGAUGAUGGAAACAAGUGGGUGUUUGAGUCAAAUUUGUGUCCAUAAACCCUUCCAUAUCGUUAAGGGAUGUGAAUAGUCUAUCUACGAUCUUAAUGGUAUAAAAAUGAAUGAGCUUCUCUUUGUUUCAAUAAUAAUUUAUCCUCUACUGAACAAGGCCAACCACGU